rnacentral:sRNA from 1 species
UAAUACAAGAAACAGGCAGAUCCUUAUUUUGCUUUUGACUAAUGAAAAGGUUUCUAGCUGCCCAGG